rnacentral:rRNA from 1 species
CUCAAAGGAAUAGACGGGGACCCGCACAAGUGGUGGAGCAUGUGGUUUAUUUCGAAGAUACGCGAAGAACCUUACCUAGCCUUGACAUUGAUAGAAUACACCAGAGAUGGAGUAGUGCCUUUCGGGGAACUUGAAAACAGGUGCUGCACGGCUGUCGUCAGCUCGUGUCGUGAGAUGUUGGGUUAAGUCCCGCAACGAGCGCAACCCUCGUCCUUAGUUGCCAGCAGGUUAAGCUGGGCACUCUAAGGAGACUGCCUUCGUAAGGAGGAGGAAGGUGAGGACGACGUCAAGUCAUCAUGGCCCUUAUGGCUAGGGCUACACACGUGCUACAAUGGGGCGUACAGAGUGUUGCGAUACCGCGAGGUGGAGCUAAUCACUUAAAGCGUCUCUCAGUUCGGAUAGCAGUCUGCAACUCGACUGCUUGAAGCUGGAAUCACUAGUAAUCGUAGAUCAGCAAUGCUACGGUGAAUACGU